UAGUCCACGCCGUAAACGAUGGUUACUAGCUGUUCGGUAUUUAUACUGAGUGGCUAAGCGAAAGUGAUAAGUAACCCACCUGGGGAGUACGUUCGCAAGAAUGAAACUCAAAGGAAUUGACGGGGGCUCACACAAGCGGUGGAGGAUGUGGCUUAAUUCGAGGAUACGCGAAGAACCUUACCUAGGCUUAACAUGCUUGAGAACGUCUGUGAAAGCAGAAAGUGCCCUUCGGGGAACUCUUGCGUAGGUGCUGCAUGGCUGUCGUCAGCUCGUGUCGUGAGAUGUCGGGUUAAGUCCCUUAACGAGCGAAACCCUUAUCUUCAGUUGCCAGCGAGUCAUGUCGGGGACUCUGAAGAGACUGCCGGUGUUAAACCGGAGGAAGGUGGGGAUGACGUCAAGUCCUCAUGGCCUUUAUGCCUAGGGCUGCACACGUCCUACAAUGCAACGCACAAAGUGAUGCUAACUCGCGAGAGUACGCAAACCACAUAAAUCGUUAGCUCAGUUCGGAUUG
rnacentral:rRNA from 1 species